CCCUCACCUGGGGGAUCCUGCCCCACCCCUUCCUAAAAUCUACCUCCUCCCCUCCCACAAGGUGUGCCUAGGUGCGCACUCAAGCCUGUGGGGAGAGACGUUCUCUCUCAGAAUUGUCAGCUGCGGCUGCGCUAUCCCAGGGCCAGAUCUGCUCAGAUAAGUGCCCUGCCUAGCAGUCUCUGCUCCCUUCCCUCCACCAUGCCUCCGUGAACUUCAGGCACGGCCGCUGACCUAGACCAGGGUGCUGCCUUGGGUGGAAGGCAGCACCAUUCUGCCAAAAGACCCAGUUUCCAGGGGCGACGGGCCCCCUCAGCCAGAACAAGCCCCUUUGUCUCUCUUCUCAACCCCUCCACAGUGAGUUCCUGAACAUUAUUCUUCCCCCACAACUUCCCCCAGCUUGUCAGACGGUGCUGCUGACGGCUGUUAAGCGCCCCCAACCCAGUAGGUGCAGGAGAACACGCACCCAGCAUGGUUUGGCAGGCAGGGGAGGAAGGGGCCUCCACCGGGACAAGGCCAGCAGGGGUGGGGGAAGGAAGAAGGGGGUGGGUCAGCAGCAGGAGGCAAGAGGAAAGGGGAAGAAGGGGCGAGAGGGUGGCUGGGUGGGGGAGGGGCUCAUUAGAAUAGACUUGCCUAGGGCAGUGCGGGAGGCCCCUUUUCCACGUUCAUGCCAACCCCCCGGACAAUAGGAGAAAUAAGGGUUAACUCUGGGCUGGGGCUUUGGGGCUAAAGGCUCCCCCCCACCUCAGUUCAGAAGGUCCUACCCCAGAGUAGCCAAGAGACUGGGCAGGAUCAGGAAGACACCACACCAGCCCCACUACGGCGGCUCGAGGAGGCCACUUGGCCUGGAGUUUGUUCUGCCUGGAGAGCCACUGGUAACUCCACUCUGGUGGAGGCAUGGCCUCCCCAUCCAGUCCCAUCUCCUCAGGCAGCUGUCCCGCCUCCACCUCUCUCUGCGACUCGGGCUGCUUCCCAUUCCAAAGGUCAGAGGUCCAGGGACCCACGCGGACCCCGGGCUGUCCUAGGUGCCUCUCCCAUCACAGGCCGGCGUCAGGCCACCCCACAGCCCCCUGUCAGGGCCACACUGCUCCCUCCUACCCUGACACCACUUUUUUCUGGUGGCCUGACGGUGGCUCCCAGGAACAGGCAGGAGAGGAAACUGUCCCUCUCAAGAGGCCACAAGCUUGGCACGGCCUGAGGACGGCGUGGUCCACCAGCCAGGAACACAGUUUCCCCAGGGCUCCAUCCAGGAACCUACCCAUAAGGCCAGGUGCAGCCCCUCUGUGGUCCGGCUCAGGUGUGAGCCCCAGCCCUGAAGCUCUAAGCAGACACUGUUGGCCCUGCCCUCAAGGAGCUGACAAAUGCAACUAGACUUGGAGAGAUUGGAAAAGAUCGUUGAAAAGCAUCUCUAAAGAGAACUACGCCACAAAUACCAACCACCCUGAUGGGCCAGGAUGGCUUGGAAGCCAAACAAAAAUAAGUAGUAUCAAUGAUAAAUGAGGUUAAGGAGGUCAGUGUAGAGCAGAGGCUGAACCUGGAGGAUGAAUCAGAUUUGGAAUGAGGCUGGAUAGGGAGGAAAUAAGAGAUGUUAGGCUGGAUAGGGAGGAAAACACUUGCCCACCUUCACCUCCCGCCCCACAAGACAACUAAAGCUAAGGGGUGCGGAGAGAGAUGUUGAUGGAUAUAUCCUAUCGCAGUGAAGAAUAACCGCAGGUUUUCUUACAUGACAGGGUGAAUGGGUAUUUUGGAAAGAUUAGCCUGGGGACCUCUCUGGUGGUCCAGUGGGUAAGACUCCACGCUGCCAGUGCAGGGGGCCGGGUUCCGUCCUUAGCUGGGGAAUUAGAUCCCACACGCGUGCCACAACUAAGA